CGAACAUGAUGAUGCCUGAGAAUGGUUUCGCUUAUUGGACUGAUGUUUCUGUGAUGCCACGAUUCUCUUGGCUAUCUGAUUCG